rnacentral:rRNA from 1 species
UGGGGGAUAUUGCACAAUGGGGGAAACCCUGAUGCAGCGACGCCGCGUGAGUGAAGAAGUAUUUCGGUAUGUAAAGCUCUAUCAGCAGGAAAGAUAAUGACGGUACCUGACUAAGAAGCACCGGCUAAAUACGUGCCAGCAGCCGCGGUAAUACGUAUGGUGCAAGCGUUAUCCGGAUUUACUGGGUGUAAAGGGAGCGCAGACGGCAUGGCAAGCCAGAUGUGAAAGGUGGGGGCUCAACCCCCAAGCUGCAUUUGGAACUGUCAAGCUAGAGUAUCGGAGAGGUAAGUGGAAUUCCUAGUGUAGCGGUGAAAUGCGUAGAUAUUAGGAGGAACACCAGUGGCGAAGGCGGCUUACUGGACGAUAACUGACGUUGAGGCUCGAAAGCGUGGGGAGCAAACAGG